CGCCUAUUACAAUAUAUGAUCGAUUUGUCAUAUCAGAUUAACCUCCGUCAACAUGUUGAGAAUAAUGAAUAAAUAGAAUGAUAAUUAAAUACUAAAUAAGAAUUAAAAAUUCAAAGUCGACCACCAAACAUAGAUUAUUAUUAUUAUUAUUAUUAUUAUUAAUAUUAUUAUUAUUGUCAACCGCACAAUUUUCAUUCGGCAGCGGCAGGGCCCUCAUCAGCCUUGCUUCGAAGUUUGUCAAAUCCCUCUGGAGUUCAUUAAACUGCCUUUAAGUUCCCGUAAGGACUCGAUAUGAAUUUUCUUGUACGAAUCUGGAUCAACCAUAUUUGUAAGUGUAGUAGAAUGAAUGAACGAGUAAGGAGGGACCUAUUUAUAAAUGAUUGAAUUGGAAGGGGUUAGUAAAAAAAAAACCACGACUGUUCAUAUCCUUUAAUAAAAUAAAACUGGUGGCUUCUUGAAUAUGCAAAAAAAAAAAAUUGGAUCUAAAUACAACAUUUUUAUCUUUUAUUGUAUUUUGGAAAGAAAAGAAAAUUACUUUAACAUAAAUCUAACAGGUGGGUAAUUUGGUGCAAAAUAUAUUCCAUCUGUUAGAUAACUUACAACAUAUUGACAUUCUGUUGCAACAGAUGGAUAUAUCUGUUUGAUUUUUCCAAAAUAUAUGGCAUAUGUUGCAACAGGUUGAUCAUCUAUCGGUUGAGUUGUCUGCAAUUGUUUGACAAUUUAAAUAGAUGUGGCAUUUGUUGCAACUAGCUAGUCAUCUGUUUAUUCAAUUUAAGUCCUAGAUGGGGCCAGGAAGAAUAAGGUGCAUGCAGAUGGAUCUACUAUUGAUACAGAAGAGACUAGGAACUCAUGAAAUAACACCAAAAAAGUCCACUCAACAAGGCACAAACCGAGGACCCUUUGGGAGCUAGUUUUCAGCCAAGAACAAGAAUAGAGUUUGACGAGUUAACAAGGUGUUGGUGACACCAAAAUCAGCCGACCAAUCUAAGUUACAACACAAUAUAAUGAACAACAAAAAACAACGACAAUGUUAUAACAAGACAACACCACAUGGCUUACAACACAAGAUACAAACUACUACAAGAUGAAAACAAAUAAAAGGAUAGAUAGAUAGACAAAGGUGGUAUAAAUCCUAAGAACCAAAAAGUAUAUUUUAACACCUCAUAGCCUUUUCUUUGUGAGAUCCUUCAAGAGCAAACAUGGUCAUAUCUAUUCUUCUUGUCCAAUAAAAGAAAAUGAUCAGGUUGGUAAAUAAGGAAUACAUAUAAAUACAAUAAAAAGUAAAGCUCACCUAUGAUGACAGAAUUCUGUUGGAGAACUUUGAAUGUGUUCACUUUACCAAAUGAAGAAAAAAAAAAAAGAGAAGAGAAGGCAUACAGUAGAGUGUGGUGACUGUGACAGUGAAAGAACAACCAUGUGUGAGCUGGUAGUGCCAGAGUUUGAUGAUAAUCU
rnacentral:lncRNA from 1 species